rnacentral:rRNA from 1 species
CUACGCACUCCUACGGGAGGCAGCAGUGGGGAAUAUUGCACAAUGGGCGCAAGCCUGAUGCAGCCAUGCCGCGUGUAUGAAGAAGGCCUUCGGGUUGUUAAAGUACUUUCAGCAGUGAGGAAGGUGGGUAUGUUAAUAGCAUACUCAUUUGACGUUAGCUGCAGAAGAAGCACCGGCUAACUCCGUGCCAGCAGCCGCGGUAAUACGGAGGGUGCGAGCGUUAAUCGGAAUUACUGGGCGUAAAGCGCAUGCAGGUGGUUUGUUAAGUCAGAUGUGAAAGCCCGGGGCUCAACCUCGGAAUUGCAUUUGAAACUGGCAAACUAGAGUACUGUAGAGGGGGUAGAAUUUCAGGUGUAGCGGUGAAAUGCGUAGAGAUCUGAAGGAAUACCGGUGGCGAAGGCGGCCCCCUGGACAGAUACUGACACUCAGAUGCGAAAGCGUGGGGAGCAAACAGGAUUAGAUACCCUGGUAG